UGGGGAAUAUUGGACAAUGGGCGAAAGCCUGAUCCAGCCAUGCCGCGUGUGUGAAGAAGGUCUUCGGAUUGUAAAGCACUUUAAGUUGGGAGGAAGGGCAGUUACCUAAUACGUGAUUGUUUUGACGUUACCGACAGAAUAAGCACCGGCUAACUCUGUGCCAGCAGCCGCGGUAAUACAGAGGGUGCAAGCGUUAAUCGGAAUUACUGGGCGUAAAGCGCGCGUAGGUGGUUUGUUAAGUUGGAUGUGAAAGCCCCGGGCUCAACCUGGGAACUGCAUCCAAAACUGGCAAGCUAGAGUAUGGUAGAGGGUGGUGGAAUUUCCUGUGUAGCGGUGAAAUGCGUAGAUAUAGGAAGGAACACCAGUGGCGAAGGCGACCACCUGGACUGAUACUGACACUGAGGUGCGAAAGCGUGGGGAGCAAACAGG
rnacentral:rRNA from 1 species